UACGGAGGGUGCGAGCGUUGUCCGGAAUCACUGGGCGUAAAGGGCGCGUAGGCGGCUUCUCAAGCGUGUGGUGAAAGUCCGGGGCUCAACCCCGGAUCGGCCGUGCGGACUGGGGAGCUCGAGUUCUGUAGAGGCGGGUGGAAUUCCGGGUGUAGCGGUGGAAUGCGUAGAGAUCCGGAAGAACACCAGUGACGAAGGCGGCCCGCUGGGCAGUGGCUGACGCUGAGGCGCGACAGCGUGGGGAGCAAACAGG
rnacentral:rRNA from 1 species